rnacentral:rRNA from 1 species
UGGGAAACAGGUUAAUAGUCCUGUACUUGGUGUUACUGCGAAGGGGGGACGGAGAAGGCUAUGUUGGCCGGGCGACGGUUGUCCCGGUUUAAGCGUGUAGGCUGGUUUUCCAGGCAAAUCCGGAAAAUCAAGGCUGAGGCGUGAUGACGAGGCACUACGGUGCUGAAGCAACAAAUGCCCUGCUUCCAGGAAAAGCCUCUAAGCAUCAGGUAACAUCAAAUCGUACCCCAAACCGACACAGGUGGUCAGGUAGAGA